rnacentral:rRNA from 1 species
GACGAACGCUGGCGGCGUGCUUAACACAUGCAAGUCGAACGGAAAGGCCUGCUUUCCCUUGUGGAUUGCGGGUACUCGAGUGGCGAACGGGUGAGUAACACGUGAGUGAUCUGCCCCCAACUUGGGUAUAAGCCUGGGAAACUGGGUCUAAUUCCCGAUAGGACUGCAGGGUGGUGCCUGUGGUGGAAAACGAUUUUCUAGUGGUUGGGGAUGAGCUCGCGGCCUAUCAGCUUGUUGGUGGGGUAAUGGCCUACCAAGGCGGCGACGGGUAGCCGGCCUGAGAGGGUCGACGGCCACAUUGGGACUGAGAUACGGCCCAGACUCCUACGGGAGGCAGCAGUGGGGAAUAUUGGACAAUGGGCGGAAGCCUGAUGCAGCGACGCCGCGUGGGGGAUGACGGCCUUCGGGUUGUAAACUCCUUUCGACCGAGAGGAAGCCACCUGGUUGGAAGGGUGGUGACGGUAGUGGUAGAAGAAGCACCGGCUAACUACGUG